GAGGAGGCGGCGCCGUCUGUGCACUGAGGUGAAGAGAACAAGUCGUCAAAUGAAAGGUAGAUGCUGGAAAUACCAAAUAAAACAAUACAGUCAGUGGAAAACCCUAGCAGGAGGAGCAAAGUUGUGCCAAUGAAAGUCAAAGACGCCAUUAUGAGCCUGAGAAACAAGAAUAAAAUUGUUUGAGACAUCAUCGAAACCUUAGAGUUGCCAAAAUCAACUGUUUGGGACAUCAUUAAGAAAGAGAGCACUGGUGAGCUUACUAAUCGCAAAGGGACUGGCAGGCUGAUGACAGCAGAAUUACCCAACUGAUGACAGCAGAAUUAUUUCUAAAGACAUAUCCCCAAUUAUCUGUCCGACAGAUCAGAAACACUCUUCUGGAGUCAGAUGUGGAUUUGUCAAUGACCACUGUUCGCAGAAGACUUCAUGAACAGGAAUACAGAGGCAACACUGCAAGAUGCAAACCACUGGUUAGCCAAACAUAGGAUGGCUGGGGUACAGUUUGCCAAGAAACAGGCAUGUGCCGUGAGUAAUUACUCGGGGUAGGCAGUCAGUCGGCAUUUAAAAAAUCUUAAACCGCGCAUGAGCAGAUUGUUCUCUCCGUAAGCUGUCAGUCGACUUUUAUGAAGUCUUCAAAAGCCAUAUCUCUAUUAAGAGUACCGUAUUUUCCCAACAAUGAAGAUGCAACCCCAUUUUAAGUUGCAAAAUUUUGAAAGGCUAGCGGGACAUAGAAUUUCUCAC